rnacentral:rRNA from 1 species
UACGUAGGGUCCGAGCGUUGUCCGGAAUUACUGGGCGUAAAGAGCUCGUAGGUGGUUUGUCGCGUUGUUCGUGAAAACUCACAGCUCAACUGUGGGCGUGCGGGCGAUACGGGCAGACUGGAGUACUGCAGGGGAGACUGGAAUUCCUGGUGUAGCGGUGGAAUGCGCAGAUAUCAAGAGGAACACCUGAGGUGAAGACGGGUUGCUGGGCCAACACUGACGCUGAGGCGCGAAAGCCAGGGAGCAAACGGG